UUUAUAUCCUACGGCUGCACACUUGGAAAACAUCUGUCUUGUCUAGACUUGGCAAUAAAACUCUUCCUUCUGACCUCCUUGAAAUAGCCAACAUUCACCCAUCUCAGCAUAUCCUCGAUGUCCUGCUGCAGGUGUGCAGUACUUGUGAAACAGAUUGCUCCAGCUGCCAGGAAACCUACUCCUGUAUAUGCUCCUAAGAACAGGCUUCAACUCAUGAUAGCAGCCUGUUCCUCUGUGAGAUCUCCAUGAGCUGUGUCUUCCAUCAGGGCAUCUCUACCUGCUCCAGAGUGGGGCUUUUCCACAGCCUGCAGGUCAUCUUCUUUUGUGAUGGGUAAUUUCCAGAACUCCUGCUUAAAUUGCUACAGGUGAAACCUCUGCAGAAACCACACAGAUGAUUAAAUACAGAGGAUCAUCACAAGGUAGUGAUUGAGCUGUGUUCAGGCCUAUUGGUUGCUACAGAGGAGUGUUGGAAGACAGUGUACAGUCAGAAAACUGCCUUGUGCAGGAAACAGCUGGCACCACAAUGAAGAUUGCCAAAGAACAAAUUGCUGUCACAGAAUACCCCUACCAUGUCCCACAGGCCAAACAGGAGAAGAGAGACAAAUCAGGAUAGAGUAAGUAAUUUUUUAGCCAUCUGUCUUCUCAAAAUGAGCAUUCAUGCCUUGAGUUGAACCCUGCAGCAUCAUACCUUCAAGAGGAGAAAAUAAGAAAGCAUGGACAAAAUUUGGCCAGUAUGUUCUGUUUGACUCUAUACAUUACUAUGCGUAUAAACAACAUUUAGGUUUCCUCUGAAGACCUGCUGAAGUGGAAACUCCUUUGGCAGCCUUACAGCUUUUAUGGCUCCAGGGUAAGUCUUGUGAAAAAUGUAGUAUAUAGAACAGAAUCAGAAAACUUCAUAAUGGUAACAGGAUAUUUGAACAGCAGUAUAACUUUUGAGCUGAAUUCCAUUUUUUUUGUGAAACGACUGCUUCUGUGAAUUUUCACUGAAUGGCAUAUAAGUGAGCAUUUGCAUGUGCAAGGUUGUAUCAGACACAGUGAAAUAGACUUACAGACUUUCUGAUGAAGUCUGUCAGAUUUAUUAGUGAAUUAUUUUAUUUCUGCAGACUUUGUGAACUAUCUUGUAGAAUGGCAUUUCUGUUGAUACAGAGUUUGUGAGUGGCUUAAUACAUGAGAAUAAAAAUGAAAAAUAUUCUAAAAGUCCUUCAGAUAUUUCUUUUAAAGUCAAAGACAGAGAGUUAGUUUUCCUAAGACAUGAGUUAGAGUGGAGGCAAUUCUAGAUAAGCCACUCCUUCUGAAUUAAAACAUCUUGUGGGAAUGUUAGGAAUAUUUGUUUCAUUUUAGCACAUUUUAGAGAUCUCAAAAAUGCAUUAUUUUUUUAAUUUUCCUCUUCUGGACUCUUGAUUCCAGACUCCCUGUCAUGUUAGUGAGAAAAACUCAAGAGUUUAAUGACAGCUGUUACUGUGACCUAAGAAGGACUUUGUGCAAGGCAGAAGUACCGAGGCUGAUGUCAGCCUGUCAGCCUUCCUGGGGCAUGACUAUAAGAGCCAGUGGUAUCCUGUGCACCAUUAGAAGUACCAACACUUGUCUUCAUCUACAGAAGAGCACCCAACAACUUUUGGUGUUCUCUACUGAGUGUGGAAAGUACAUUAAGUCUCACAAUUAGUUUCCCUUUCUUUUUUUCUGCUUGAGCUGGGCUUUUGCCUCGCUUUGGGAUCCAGGAAAAAAAAGAAAAAAAGAGCAUGCAGAGAGCCUUAAACCCUUUGGCUGCAUCUUGUAAUAGCAUUUUAUGACUUCUUGCUGUUGUAUUUAUUUUAAGUUUAAGCUUAGAAGAGGAUACUUGAAAGGCCAUUUUCUUGAAUUGUGGAAUUUCACUGCAUUUUUGGGAGUAAUUUUCUUCUCUUGAAGUAUCUUGUGUGAUGUUUGCACAGCACAAGAUAAAAAUGUCUCCUCUAUCCUUACACUUCCUUCUUCUGGAUGAAAACAGACAUAAUUGCUUGACUAACUUUAUAUGCAGCUUUUAUUUCUAUCGCCUUUUCUUAAGUCUUUUCAUGUUUCCUGGUUCCAGUACAGCCUCUGUAUGACUAAUUGACGCAUCGUCAUCAGGCUGCCAUCUGAUUAAAUGAUUGUCACAAUGUAUAAAUACAGUGUUUACUGGAAAAUAGCAUUUUAAGAGGUAUUGUGCACUUUCAGUUUACAAUAAUGGCUUUUUGUUAUGAACUGUAUUAAUCUUUAAUCUGUUUCAUUGCAUUUUUUGCAGGAAAACAAAAAAAGAUCUGUGAGUUUUACCUCCAGUACUGUUUGGACUUCCUUGCUUCAGUCUCUGGUUAUUAUUGGUGCAGUCAAGUGUGUGGCUAGUGAAUCUGGAAAAUUGGUUGUCUGGGAUAUUGUUGAUGUCUUUCAAAUACUCUGAGUGCUUUUGACUGGUACUGGUUUGCACAUUUCCAGACUUUUUUAGAUGUAUUUUGAGUUUUGGCUAACAUCUUCAUGAUUAUGGACUAAUUUCUGGUGGAUUUGGCCUUUGAUGGUGCUGAAGUCAUGAGCAGAGCCAGCCAGAGGCUGCCUGUCAAUUUUGUUUCUGGAAACUUCUUACUGGCAAUUCUGUUUCCCAGCAAGAAGUUUCCAGGUUUGUGGUUUCCAUACAUUUGAGCAAAAUAGUGAUUUUCUGCAGGGCCUAUGUCUGUCUGAGCACUUCAGCUAUGCAGUGAUAUCUAAAGUACCUCUUCUUUGCCAAAGGAAUAUGUAUCUAAUUCUGGCUUUUUUCCCCCCAGCCUAUCCACACCUCUACUGGGAGUGUUUGGACUGUGCUCUCAAGCACAUGCUGUUACUCUUGGGGUGUCCUGUGCAAGGCCAGAAGUUGGACUUGAUGAUCCUGGUGUGUCCCUUCCACCUCAGGGUAUUCUAUGACUCUAUGACUCCAAACCCACACCUCACAGCACAACAAAUGAGAACAGUGAUCUGAUUUCUUGGACAAGCCCUGACGGACUGCCUUCAGAAGGAGGAGCUGGGAAACUGAUUUUUAAGAGUGACUCAGUAGCAUCAUCUUCAGCCCAGCCCCAACUCAAACUACCAAUCAACCUCUACUGAAUCAGGAAGAAAUCUGCAUCCCAAAUUUCCUGCAUGCAAACAUAUGCGCAAAGGAUAUGCGUGCAGACAUAGUGCAAGAUACGGUACCGGUGGAAAAAUUCUCCUUAGAGCUGAAGUGCUCUCCUGCAAGACUUUGAUUUGGUAGCUGCUGUCUCCAAUAGGAUUUUCAGAUGACUGCUUUGGGGGUCUAAGAAAAAUCCUCAGACUUUGGUGCAGCUGACAUCAGCUGGAAGAGCUGACAGCAGGACAAAGAAGGGAUAGAAAUGAGGGGGAAAAAAUGAUCAACGCCCAUCAUCCCAACCAACCAGGCUGACCCAACAGGCUAACAGGAAAUCACUGAAUGUGAAAGAUUUGAUAAAGAUGCAAAUCACCUAAAAAGCCUCAGAUGCAGACAGUGUUUUUUGUUGUUUCAAAGAUGGCUGUCCAGGAUGCACUUGCAUCUGGGGCUGGAAGGAGACUUCCUCAUUCCCUCCUUAAUUUCACUUGUGCACAGAGAAGUGAGGUCAGCUUUGGUGCCACUUUGCUUGCUUGUCAUAUGUGAGUGGUUAAACAUCUUUUCAGAAUGGAGUUGUGCUGUCCCACUUCCAGGAAUAUGCCUCCUAAACAGUAUGGCUGAGGUGGGGGGGGCUAGGCUGUGGGAAUCUUAUGCCUCAGCUGCAUCCCAUCCCACCAGAACAUAUUUUAUGCAGAGCUAAUAUUUUGGUGAUAAAAGCAUUUCAGGGGUGGCUACUGGAAUUGUGAUACUUGAAAUAUGAAUUCGAAAUUCACAGCUUAUCAAUAAAACCACAUUGACUUUCAGAAAGGUUGUCUGGUGAAUUUGAGUACAGCACUGCAAACAUUUACUUACAUCAUGUUCACGAUUG